GGAAAGAAGCAGAGGUAGCCAUAGAAACAACUCUUGAGGGCUUACAGCUUAGGAGUCUAAAUGCACAUGGAACUUAAGAGCUUGGUUCUACUCUACCUUUAAGCUAGAAUGGAGAUGAUUCCCAAAAGACCUUACAAGGCAUUUACUGAAGAUAGCAAAGCCUCCCAGAGCCUGAUUUCUGAAUGAUUGUCCAUUGCCAUAGUCACCAGGUGUGGUGAAACGAGGCUUCACCCGAGUCUACAACCUUAGACACGUUUCUCCACAAUGCUACUCUGAGAUCAAGAUCUGAACUGUACAUCCUGGAGACACAGCAACACAAGGGAAUAAAAUAUUAUACAACUGUCAGAGGUAUUGUGGAGUUCAAAUUAGAUGAUAUAGAAUGACACCAAGGAAAAUACAUUGUGAAAUUUGACGAGAUUCUGAACUCAAAAAGAGAUGCUGCUCUAUUCAUUUCAAAGCAACU